rnacentral:rRNA from 1 species
GACGAACGCUGGCGGCGUGCUUAACACAUGCAAGUCGAACGGAAAGGCCCUGCUUUUGUGGGGUGCUCGAGGGGCGAAGGGGUGAGUAACACGUGAGUAACCUGUCCUUGACUUUGGGAUAACUUCAGGCAACUGGGGCUAAUACCGGAUAGGAUCUCCUGCUGCAUGGUGGGGGUUGGUAAGUUUCGGCGGUUGGGGAUGGACUCGCGGCUUAUGAGCUUGUUGGUGGGGUAGUGGCUUACCAAGGCUAUGACGGGUAGCCGGCCUGAGAGGGUUACCGGCCACAUUGGGACUGAGAUACGGCCCAGACUCCUACGGGACGCAGCAGUGGAGAAUAUUGCACAAUGGGCGGAAGCCUGAUGCAGCAAAGCCGCGUGCGGGAUGACGACCUUCGGGUUGUAAACCGAUUUCGCCUGUGACGAGGCGUGAGUGACGGUAAUGGGUAAAGAAGCACCGGCUAACUACGUG